rnacentral:tRNA from 1 species
GCCUGGGUAGCUCAGUCGGUUAAGCAUCCAACUCUUGGUUGCAACUCAGGACGUGAUCUCACAGUGCGUGGGUUCAAGCCCCACAUCGGGCU